CCCUUAGAUGCCCGGGGCUGCACGCGCGCUACACUGACUGGCUCAGCGUGUGCCUACCCUACGCCGGCAGGCGCGGGUAACCCGUUGAACCCCAUUCGUGAUGGGGAUCGGGGAUUGCAAUUAUUCCCCAUGAACGAGGAAUUCCCAGUAAGUGCGGGUCAUAAGCUUGCGUUGAUUAAGUCCCUGCCCUUUGUACACACCGCCCGUCGCUACUACCGAUUGGAUGGUUUAGUGAGGCCCUCGGAUCGGCCCCGCCGGGGUCGGCCCACGGCCCUGGCGGAGCGCUGAGAAGACGGUCGAACUUGACUAUCUAGAGGAAGUAAAAGUCGUAACA
rnacentral:rRNA from 1 species